rnacentral:tRNA from 1 species
UGGGCUGAGGCUCAGUGAUAGAGUACGUGCCUAGCAUGCAUGAGGUCCUGGGUUUGAUUCCCAAAACCACAA